rnacentral:lncRNA from 1 species
CAAGUUUCAAGAUAAGACAAUCAAGGAAUUGAAGAAGUCAGUUAAGGACAUGGGAGCUCAGAUCAAGGACAUGCAGAAGAAGGUUAGUUGCUCUUCUUCUCCAGCAGGUGCACCAUCCUUCAUGCCCGGGAGUUACUCCACACAUGGAGCCCCGAGGAUUGAUCUCUCACCUUUGCCCAUACCAUCAUUUGAUACAAGGAGAAGUCUGUUCAGGAGAAGCUCUGCAACAGCAUCUGAUCGAGUGCAACAAAAGCUUCAGUCCGACCCAGAAUCAGAGGAUGCACAAAAACUGGGAAUCG